rnacentral:rRNA from 1 species
UACGUAGGAGGCGAGCGUUGUCCGGAAUUACUGGGCGUAAAGAGCGCGUAGGCGGCACGGUACGACCGGUGUGAAAGCCCCCGGCUCAACUGGGGAGGGUCACCGGUAACGGCCGAGCUACGAGUGCAGGAGAGGGAAGUGGAACUCCGGGAGUAGCGGUGAAAUGCGUAGAGACCCGGAGGAACACCAGUGGCGAAGGCGGCUUGCCAGAACGCGCUCGACGGUGAGGGAUGAAAGCUGGGGGAGCAAACCGG